CGUGUCGAGGAGCGCUGCAGCGGGUUUAUGCCCCGUCAGGCUCGGCACGGCGCAACAACCGUAGUAACGGCGCUCAUCCGAC
rnacentral:ncRNA from 2 species